AGCAGCAGCCGCGGGAAUACGUAGGUGGCAAGCGUUGUCCGGAAUUAUUGGGCGUAAAGGGCUCGCAGGCGGUUUCUUAAGUCUGAUGUGAAAGCCCCCGGCUCAACCGGGGAGGGUCACUGGAAACUGGGAAACUUGAGUGCAGAAGAGGAGAGUGGAAUUCCACGUGUAGCGGUGAAAUGCGUAGAGAUGUGGAGGAACACCAGUGGCGAAGGCGACUCUCUGGUCUGUAACUGACGCUGAGGAGCGAAAGCGUGGGGAGCGAACAGGAUUAGAUACCCGUGUAGUCCCUGUCUCUUAUAC
rnacentral:rRNA from 1 species